rnacentral:rRNA from 1 species
CACGCCGUAAACGAUGAUUACUCGAUGUUGGCGAUACACAGUCAGCGUCUGAGCGAAAGCAAUAAGUAAUCCACCUGGGGAGUACGAUCGCAAGAUUGAAACUCAAAGGAAUUGACGGGGGCCCGCACAAGCGGAGGAGCAUGUGGUUUAAUUCGAUGAUACGCGAGGAACCUUACCUGGGCUCGAACGUAAGAUGACCGUAUGUGAAAGCAUAUUUCCCUUCGGGGCAUUUUACGAGGUGC